AUAAAAUACAUCUCUUAGGGGGCAUAAUUUUGACCAGAGUAGAUGACAAGCCCGCCAAGAGAACAGCUGAGACGAUGAUAUCGCUGACGACAGGUUAAAAGUCAUGGCAUCACACAAUAGACCAAAAGCAAACAGCAUUAAAUAAAACUGGCUGAUUAUUUUCCAGAUCCUACAGUUCAAACACCAUAAAUACAAGAUUUUUCUAGGUAGGCUGAGCAUUGAGUCACAGUCACUACAUCGAACAAGAGAGCGGAUGGAAGAGCUUCGACCCCAAACUCUAGUACGUGUAACUUUUGCAUGCCAUUUCUUAGGAAAGCAGCUUCUUAUGUUUUCCAGGUUUUCAUAGAAUUUACAAGGUUGCUAAGCCUGCAAAAAU
rnacentral:lncRNA from 1 species